rnacentral:rRNA from 1 species
ACGAACGCUGGCGGCAGGCUUAACACAUGCAAGUCGAACGCCCCGCAAGGGGAGUGGCAGACGGGUGAGUAACACGUGGGAACAUGCCCAAAGGUACGGAAUAUUCCCGGGAAACUGGGAGCAAUACCGUAUGUGCCCGAAAGGGGAAAGAUUUAUCGCCUUUGGAUUGGCCCGCGUCGGAUUAGCUAGUUGGUGGGGUAAAGC